rnacentral:tRNA from 1 species
CGCGGGAUGGAGCAGCGGCAGCUCGUCAGGCUCAUAACCUGAAGGUCGUCGGUUCGAGUCCGACUCCCGCAA